AUUGAACGCUGGCGGCAGGCUUAACACAUGCAAGUCGAGCGGGGGAAGGUAGCUUGCUACCGGACCUAGCGGCGGACGGGUGAGUAAUGCUUAGGAAUCUGCCUAUUAGUGGGGGACAACAUCUCGAAAGGGAUGCUAAUACCGCAUACGUCCUACGGGAGAAAGCAGGGGAUCUUCGGACCUUGCGCUAAUAGAUGAGCCUAAGUCGGAUUAGCUAGUUGGUGGGGUAAAGGCCUACCAAGGCGACGAUCUGUAGCGGGUCUGAGAGGAUGAUCCGCCACACUGGGACUGAGACACGGCCCAGACUCCUACGGGAGGCAGCAGUGGGGAAUAUUGGACAAUGGGGGGAACCCUGAUCCAGCCAUGCCGCGUGUGUGAAGAAGGCCUCAUGGUUGUAAAGCACUUUAAGCGAGGAGGAGGCUACUCUAGUUAAUACCUAGGGAUAGUGGACGUUACUCGCAGAAUAAGCACCGGCUAACUCUGUGCCAGCCGCCGCCGUAG
rnacentral:rRNA from 1 species